GACGAACGCUGACGGUGUGCUUUAGACAUGCAAGUCGAACGAGAAAGCCCUUCGGGGUUAGUAAAGUGGCGAACGGGUGAGUAACACGUGGGCAAUCUGCCCCUCGCAGGGGGACAACCGGAGGAAACCCCGGCUAAUACCCCGUAAGUUCAAAGGGAGGCAUCUCCCCUUGAAGAAAGGUAGCUUCGGCCAUCCGGCGAGGGAUGAGCCCGCGGUGCAUUAGCUAGUUGGUGGGGUAACGGCCCACCAAGGCGACGAUGCAUAGCUGGUCUGAGAGGAUGAUCAGCCACACUGGGACUGAGACACGGCCCCAGACUCCUACGGGAGGCAGCAGUGGGGAAUCUUGCGCAAUGGGCGAAAGCCUGACGCAGCGACGCCGCGUGAGGGA
rnacentral:rRNA from 1 species